rnacentral:rRNA from 1 species
CCCAGACUCCUACGGGAGGCAGCAGUGAGGAAUAUUGGUCAAUGGGCGCGAGCCUGAACCAGCCAAGUCGCGUGAGGGAUGACGGUCCUACGGAUUGUAAACCUCUUUUGCCGGGGAGCAAGCGUGCGUUCGUGAACGCACGUCGAGAGUACCCGGAGAAAAAGCAUCGGCUACCUCCGUGCCAGCAGCCGCGGUAAUACGGAGGAUGCGAGCGUUAUCCGGAUUUAUUGGGUUUAAAGGGUGCGUAGGCGGGAUGCAAGGUCAGGGGUAAAAUUGCGGUGCUCACCGCCGUCGAGCCGUGGAAACUGGCGUUCUUGAGUGGGCGAGAAGUAUGCGGAAUGCGUGGUGUAGCGGUGAAAUGCAUAGAUAUCACGCAGAACUCCGAUUGCGAAGGCAGCAUACCGGCGCCCUACUGACGCUGAGGCACGAAAGCGUGGGUAUCGAACAGGAUUAGAUACCCCCGUA